rnacentral:rRNA from 1 species
GACGAACGCUGGCGGCGUGCCUAAUACAUGCAAGUCGAGCGAACAGAUGAGGAGCUUUCUCCUCUGACAUUAGCGGCGGAAGCGGGUGUAACACGUGGAUAACCGACCCAUAAGACUGGAAUAAACUCGGGAAACCGGAGCUAAUACAGGGUAAUAUAUUGAACCGCAUGGUUCAAUAGUGAAUGACGGUUUUGUUGUCACUUAUAGGUUGAUCCGCGCCGCAGUAGCUAGUUGGUAAGGUAACGGCUUACCAAGGCAUCGUUGCGUAGCCGACGUGGGAGGGGGAUCGGCCACCCUGGAACGGCAACACGGUCCGGACUCCUACGGGGGGCGACGGUAGGGAAUCUUCGUCAUUGAGCGAAGGCCUGCCGGGGCAACGCCCCGUGGGUGUUGCAGGUCUUCGGUUCGUAAACCUCUGUUAUUGGGGACGAAGAAAUGUGUGAGUAACUACGCACGUCUUGACGGUACCUGAACAGAAAGCCACGGCUAACUACGUG